rnacentral:lncRNA from 1 species
GAAGAAUUGAAGACCGACCAACAGAGCCUGCAAUGCAAACAGAGAGGCAUGAGGAAACUGAAUCCAAUCACAUCAAAUCAAAUCAAGCUGUUGCACCUUGACCUUGAGGAAAACAAACCUCAUCUCAUGUCAUCUCAGGGAAGAAUAAGAAGAAGAAAAAUAUAUGGCUGCUGCUCCAUGACCAUGACCUUGAAUUGUUGCUGCUGCACCAGAUCGAGGAAGAAGAAGACCUGCAAAAAAAGCAAUAACUAGCAAUGCACAAGCAUGAAUUCAUGGAAGGACGGAUGCAAGGCCAAACACCCAGCAUACUGUUUCUUAAUGCCCCAACUACUUAAAAAACCAUGGUAGUUCUAACCAUAUUAAAUUGAAGACAAAGUGAAGUCAUGAUAUUGAGAGUUCCAUCUUAUAAAGCUUUCUGUUUAGCAUAUCCUAAAUCACAGUCUAUCUACCAAUAUAUGAACUCUUUAGUUUUCAGAACCGAGGCUCACAUAUUUGGGCUGAUUUGUACACUGUAUUUUCAGUAUUUUUUUUAACUUGAGACAAACUAAAUGCUAACAUCAGUGACAACAAGAAUUGAACAGAAAUAGCUAUUGAAGAAACACGUUUAUAAGAUAGAAUGAAAAUGAUUUACACCACAACAUAUAUUUCACAUGUACUGGAGCUAGAGACUACAGAACACACAUAAUCACACAUAUGCGAACAGGGUACUACUCCAUGGUUCAGGUUACACUAAUAAACAAAAUUAUACAAGCGACUAGACUAGUAUCACAGAUCUACAGAGUAGUACUAAACAACUAAAAAUAAGUAGUAGAAGUAACUAGUACAGGGAGCAAGUACUCCUUUCAUUCACUUUAAACUGAGACAACUGAAAAGGAGUACUCCUUUCAUUUAAUUUACUUUAAACUGAGACUACUAAAAAGGAGUACUCCUCUCUUGAGAAGUUGAUGUAAAUGAAAUCCAGGAGUAUGUGAGAAUAUGUCCAUCUUUAUUUCUUUCUGUAAGCUUUAUCUUCAGUGCCCUGUAAUCACCAAAAGGCAAUAUCAAAAAUUAUCUGGUAGGCUAAUAAUAUCAGAAAGCUUGGCAGCGACUGCACAUACCUGCAGUGUUCGCUCUUCCAGGCCUUCUUGUUGUCGCCGAUACUGCACGAACAUUAAGUAACAAUCUGAUCAGCAUACAGAGAGUAUAAAUUUGACCUUGUAAGAGAAAUGCUCAUAUCCUAUCAGCAUAAACAUUUCAAAAAUCAACAUCCAUGCUCAUAUCCUAUCCAACCAGCACAAACAGUUCACAAAUCAACACCCAUGCUCAUAUCCUAUCAGCAUAACAUUUCACAAAUCAACAUUCCUAUUCAUAUCCUAUCAGCAUAAACAUUUCAGAAAUCAUAUCCUAUCUAUCAGCAUAAACAUUUCAGAAAUCAUAUCCUAUCUAUCAGCAUAAAAAGGCACUCUUAAAGCUUAAGUUUCCUAUAACUAGCAGCACCCUGUCAGAACUUAAAGCUUAGGAAGGUAGGUAGUAUGUUAUAUGACACCUUGAAGAGUAGGACUUAAGGAUGUGCUGCUGUUAUACAUGAUGCAAUUCAGCAUUGGCCAGCAAGAGAAAUGCUUAAUCAGGAGGUAUAUUAGAAGAAACAGCUAGAUGUAUAUUAGAGAUAACCUGCAUCAGGAUGUUGGAUAUCACAUACCAUAGGCAGAAACAGCUAGCUUGAACAACGAGAAGCUGACAUCCACCAC